CAAUGGCUGUUCAGAUUAGCCAUGCAUGUCUAAGUAUAAGCAAUCUAUACGGUGAAACUGCGAAUGGCUCAUUAAAUCAGUUAUCGUUUAUUUGAUAGUACCUUGCUACAUGGAUACCUGUGGUAAUUCUAGAGCUAAUACAUGCUGAAAACCCCGACUUCGGAAGGGGUGUAUUUAUUAGAUAAAAAACCAAUGCCCUUCGGGGCUCCUUGGUGAUUCAUAAUAACUUAACGAAUCGCAUGGCCUUGCGCCGGCGAUGGUUCAUUCAAAUUUCUGCCCUAUCAACUUUCGAUGGUAGGAUAGUGGCCUACCAUGGUGGCAACGGGUAACGGGGAAUUAGGGUUCGAUUCCGGAGAGGGAGCCUGAAAA
rnacentral:rRNA from 1 species